rnacentral:SRP_RNA from 1 species
GCCGGGCGUGAUGGCUCAUGCCUGUAAUCCCAGCACUUUGGGAGGCUGAGGUGGGCGGAUCACCUGAGGUCGGGAGUUCAAGACCAGCCUGACCAACAUGGAGAAACCACACCUCUA